UACAGAGGCCUCAAGCGUUAAUCGGAAUCACUGGGCUUAAAGCGUGCGUAGGCGGACAUGCAAGCAUGUUGUGAAAUCCCAUGGCUCAACCAUGGAACUGCUUCGUGAACUGCAUGUCUUGAGACAAGUAGGGGUGGUCGGAACGAUAGGUGGAGCGGUGAAAUGCGUAGAUAUCUAUCGGAACACCGAAGGAGAAGUCAGGCCACUGGGCUUGUUCUGACGCUGAGGCACGAAAGCGUGGGGAGCAAACGGG
rnacentral:rRNA from 1 species